UACGUAGGGUGCAAGCGUUGUCCGGAAUUAUUGGGCGUAAAGAGCUUGUAGGCGGUUUGUCGCGUCUGCUGUGAAAUUUCGGGGCUCAACCCCGAACUUGCAGUGGGUACGGGCAGACUAGAGUGUGGUAGGGGAGACUGGAAUUCCUGGUGUAGCGGUGAAAUGCGCAGAUAUCAGGAGGAACACCAAUGGCGAAGGCAGCCUCCUGGGCCAACAUUGACGCUGAGGCGCGAAAGCGUGGGGAGCAAACAGG
rnacentral:rRNA from 1 species